GCUAAAUAUUACUUUCCCUAAAAUUAACUACUUUCAUAUUUACUCCUAUGCGGAGUCAGGCGGACUCUGCGUCUUCCAGCAGACGUUAACCGAGCGCCCACGACUCACCAGGCACACAGUGAAAAGCCUCCCUAGCGGCCCUGGCCCCGAGGGGGCGGACGGACGGAUGGACGGACGGACGGACGGAGGAAUGUCCGCAGGGCAGGGUCUGAAGGGACAGCACAGAUGCCCACGCGAGGAGAGGGCGCGACGCCCCGAGCAGGUCUGGGAUGGUUUCAGACUCUCUGAGCCCCAUCCUGUGCGUCCUGGACGGGGACCCAGUGACCGUGGUCCUGCGGGGGCGCCCUCAGGAGACGGCACCGACCGGGUGUGGACGGCAGAGGAAACGUCCGGACGGAGGCCGCUCGGCCGCGCUGUGACCCAGACGCACUUUCGGCCGCCUGAACCCGGCACUUUCGACAGUUACCCGAUACCUUGAAUCUCGCUGCUCUUCAGAGUUUCCAUUACACGCCUGCCUGCUUGCGAACGUAGAAUGCACGCCGCAGCGAAGGGCAGAUGAGGGUAAUAACGGCGGCUCUCUGCUUUACCGACCAACCGCGCCUGUGCGAGAAGCGGUGCUGCCAGGGCUCAGCGUCCCCAGGCGGGCAGGGAGGUGUCUGGAAAACAACCGUCCCCGCCGCGGAGGGCCUAGAGCAAGCUGGGAGUGACGCGGCCAGGCUUUCUCCGUCUUGGGGUGCGCGGGACGCUGGCCCUGCAUGAUGAGCCGGCGAGCAAACAAAUAGAAGGGCGCAGCGGCGUUAAAGGAGAUCGGAAGGGAAGUCCUGGCAAAGCGAAGUUAACCUCAUAUUCUACCAGGGUUUCUUCAGCUCUGAAAGAAACUUGAAACGUGCCUUCAUGGGAAAAAAAUGCUGUACUCCUUCAAAUUCCCCCUAAUAAAAACUUUUCUU
rnacentral:lncRNA from 1 species